rnacentral:ncRNA from 1 species
UUAAUAUCGUAAUAGUUAGGUGCCUUUCUAAGUAGCUUUGAAAGGAGAAUAGGGAAUCAGGUGAGAAUCCUGAACGGGCCCGCCACUGUGACUGGUAAAAAAGCAAUUGACAAUUAAAAGUUAAGAGCUAAAAGUCAAAAGUAGAUUAAUAGUUAAUUGCUAAAGGAUGAUAAGACCACUUGGAUAUUUAAGUGUUCAGGGAAGGUUAAGUUUCUUACAGCCAGAAGUCAGGAGACCUGCCUAACUGUUAAACCUACU